CAUGUGUGUGUGUGUAAGAGAGAGAGAGAGAGGAAAAAUAGAGAGGAAAGUGUUCUUUUAUGCCCAGCUACUGUUUUUGUUUGUGAAAACUAUCUUGUUAAAUUUGAUCUACUGUGAGAUAUUUUGUAA